rnacentral:rRNA from 1 species
UNGGAGCUCUCCCAUAUGGUCGACCUGCAGGCGGCCGCGAAUUCACUAGUGAUUAGAGUUUGAUCCUGGCUCAGGAUGAACGCUGGCGGCGUGCCUAACACAUGCAAGUCGAACGAAGCAAUCAGAAUGAAAUUUUCGGAUGGAUUACUGGUUGACUGAGUGGCGGACGGGUGAGUAACGCGUGGAUAACCUGCCUCACACUGGGGGAUAACAGUUAGAAAUGGCUGCUAAUACCGCAUAAGCGCACAGUACCGCAUGGUACGGUGUGAAAAACUCCGGUGGUGUGAGAUGGAUCCGCGUCUGAUUAGUUAGUUGGCGGGGUAACGGCCCACCAAGACAGCGAUCAGUAGCCGACCUGAGAGGGUGACCGGCCACAUUGGGACUGAGACACGGCCCAAACUCCUACGGGAGGCAGCAGUGGGGAAUAUUGCACAAUGGGCGAAAGCCUGAUGCAGCGACGCCGCGUGAGUGAAGAAGUAUUUCGGUAUGUAAAGCUCUAUCAGCAGGGAAGAAACUGACGGUACCUGACUAAGAAGCCCCGGCUAACUACGUGCCAGCAGCCGCGGUAAUACGUAGGGGGCAAGCGUUAUCCGGAUUUACUGGGUGUAAAGGGAGCGUAGACGGCGAAGCAAGUCUGGAGUGAAAACCCAGGGCUCAACCCUGGGACUGCUUUGGAAACUGUUUUGCUAGAGUGUCGGAGAGGUAAGUGGAAUUCCUAGUGUAGCGGUGAAAUGCGUAGAUAUUAGGAGGAACACCAGUGGCGANNCGGCUUACUGGACGAUAACUGACGUUGAGGCUCGAAAGCGUGGGGAGCAAACAGGAUUAGAUACCCUGGNAGUCCACGCCGUAAACGAUGAAUGCUAGGUGUUGGGGGGCAAAGCCCUUCGGUGCCGNCGCAAACGCNAUAAGCAUUCCNCCUGGGGANUACGUUCGCAANA